GAAGGAGCCGACUGAAGUACCUCUGGAAUCUAGCUCAAUGCCAGAUGUUCCAAGUGGUGAUAAAGCACAGGCUGUUAUUGAUGAACAAGAGGUUAUUGAUUUACAACCAUCGGGUCAAGAAGAACUACCUGAAGUGCAAAAGAAAUUCACCAAGUGUUCAUUCUGUCAUGGCUUAGGACAUAACCGGCAAACAUGUGCAACCUGGCAAGCUCAAGCAUGGAGAAAAAGAAAGGCUGCUAUGACUGUUUUUGGUCCAUUCCCUCCAUCAAAAGGGAAAAAUGACUAGGAAAAAGGAGAAAGCACAUAGGCUGUUGGAUGAAGAAGAUGAUAUUGUCGCCCAGUCAAGUUAAUGGAGUUUGGGAAUACAGCAGACUUCUAUUUUGUGGGAUAUGCUCUGUUUUGUACAUUAAGAGCUUCUGUUUUGUCAAUGGAUACUAAUUGGAUUAACAAUACGAUUCUGUUUUGUACA